rnacentral:rRNA from 1 species
GAUUUCUGGUUAAGUAACGCCUUCCCCGGGGUGUGCGCUGGUUGGCGUUUGUCAUUUCACUUGGCGGACAUGACGCGAUCUAGAUCUUUUACUUUUUGAAAAGAUUAGAGUAUUUAAAGCAGGCUUAUGUUAUGAAUACAUGAGCAUGGAAUAAUAAUAUAGGACUUGGGUUCUAUUUUGUUGGUUUCUAGGACAAGAAUACACCUCUGGCCACUGAAUACUAGCGUCGCCCCCGGUCCCUAUCAAUCAUUAUUUCAGUUU